rnacentral:rRNA from 1 species
AAAUGAAUAGACGGGGACCCGCACAAGCGGUGGAGCAUGUGGUUUAAUUCGACGAUAAGCGGGGAACCUUACCAGGUCUUGACAUGCAGCUGCACAUCCCAUGAAAGUGGGACUUCUUCGAGAGUGCUGCACAGGUGCUGCACGGUUGUCGUCAGCUCGUGCCGUGAGGUGUUCGCUUAAGUGCGAAAACGAGCGCAACCCCUAUCGUUUGUUAUUUAUGUCAAACGAGACUGCCGGCGUUUAAGCCGGAGGAAGGCGGGGAUGACGUCAAAUCAGCGUGGCUCUUACGACCUGGGCCACACACGUGCUACAAUGGGUAGGUACAGAGGGACGCCAAAGCGUAAGCUGGAGCAAAUCCCACCAAAACUACCCUCAGUUCGGAUUGAGGGCUGCAACUCGCCCUCAUGAAGCUGGAAUCGCUAGUAACCGUGAAUCAGCCUCGUCACGGUGAAUACGUUCUCGGGUUUUGUACACACCGCCCGU